AUUGAACGCUGGCGGCAGGCUUAACACAUGCAAGUCGAACGCCCCGCAAGGGGAGUGGCAGACGGGUGAGUAACGCGUGGGAAUCUACCGUGCCCUGCGGAAUAGCUCCGGGAAACUGGAAUUAAUACCGCAUACGCCCUACGGGGGAAAGAUUUAUCGGGGUAUGAUGAGCCCGCGUUGGAUUAGCUAGUGGGUGGGGUAAAGGCCUACCAAGGCGACGAUCCAUAGCUGGUCUGAGAGGAUGAUCAGCCACAUUGGGACUGAGACACGGCCCAAACUCCUACGGGAGGCAGCAGUGGGGAAUAUUGGACAAUGGGCGCAAGCCUGAUCCAGCCAUGCCGCGUGAGUGAUGAAGGCCUUAGGGUUGUAAAGCUCUUUCACCGAUGAAGAUAAUGACGGUAGUCGGAGAAGAAGCCCCGGCUAACUUCGUGCCAGCAGCCGCCGUAAUAC
rnacentral:rRNA from 1 species